rnacentral:rRNA from 1 species
ACGAAGGUCCCGAGCGUUAUCCGGAAUUAUUGGGCGUAAAGCGCAUGUAGGCGGUUUAUUAAGUCUGAUGUGAAAGCUCACGGCCUAACCGUGAAAUUGCAUUGGAAACUGGUGAACUAGAAUACUGGAGGGGUAAGUGGAAUUCCAUGUGUAGCGGUGGAAUGCGUAGAUAUAUGGAGGAACACCAAUGGCGAAGGCAGCUUACUGGACAGAGAUUGACGCUGAGAUGCGAAAGCGUGGGGAGCAAACAGG